UCGGGAAUUUUGGGCAAUGGGCGAAAGCCUGACCCAGCAACGCCGCGUGAAGGAUGAAGUAUUUCGGUAUGUAAACUUCGAAAGAAUAGGAAGAAUAAAUGACGGUACUAUUUAUAAGGUCCGGCUAACUACGUGCCAGCAGCCGCGGUAAUACGUAGGGACCAAGCGUUGUUCGGAUUUACUGGGCGUAAAGGGCGCGUAGGCGGCAAUUCAAGUCAUCUGUGAAAUCUCCGGGCUUAACUCGGAACGGUCAGAUGAUACUGCUUUGCUAGAGUGCAGAAGGGGCAAUCGGAAUUCUUGGUGUAGCGGUGAAAUGCGUAGAUAUCAAGAGGAACACCUGAGGUGAAGACGGGUUGCUGGGCUGACACUGACGCUGAGGCGCGAAAGCCAGGGGAGCAAACGGGAUUAGAUACCCAGGUAGUCCCUGAGCGGGCUGGCAAGGCGC
rnacentral:rRNA from 1 species